UGCGGCUUUCAUAAAAGGAAACAUCUGCUUGUAAUAGUGGUCCUGCUCCAGCGAGGCUGAGGGGAGUUAGGCUGGCGGAGGUGACUGACAGCUUCCCUGGCCCUGUUGUGCCUGGCAGAUGUGGAGGUGUCACAGUAGUGAUGAAUUGUUUACACUCACCUGUCUGCCACGUCCUUCAGCGUCAGGGGGAUAGGCCCGGGCGACAGGAAAGGGGUGGCGGCACUGCCACAGGGUCAACGAUAUCUUCAGGCAGCAGAAGGUGUCACCUUCAUCGGACCUGACACACAUGCUACUCAAACCAUGGGAGACAAGAUCGGGCAAAUUAAUCGCCAAGAUGCCAAGGUCAGUGUCGUGCCCCCAUACACGUGGGCUGGUCAAGUCAUUUUAGAAGACGGCGAUACAGGAUGAAGUUUAUUUACACCGCUGUCAUCUGUUCCUGCAUAGCAACAAAGCCGAUGAUUUCCACAUAAGAGCAGUGGGGAGACUCGGGUAGACAGCCCCUCCAGAGCCCGCUGAAGUGAAGCCGUAGUUGGGUAUGUUGGCUGGUCUCACCCGGCCGCCCCACAGCAGGUUUGAAGCCUCUUCUAUCUUUGCCUCCAAUCAAUAGAAGAGCUGCUCCCCCUGCUGCCUGUCUCACGCUACAACUUCCUCUUCCAUCACCUCUUCCAAUGGCACAUAUCACCCUUCACAUUUCCUCUCCUUUUAUCCCUAUUUCUCUCUCUCUCUGUCUCUCUCUCUGCAGUGAAGCAGUCAGGAUGGUUCUCGUUUGGCAGUGGCUGACAUGAGCAGAGGUCUAUCAAGGUGGCCUGUAGGCUAGUGGUGAGACGGAAACCCAUCUGGGAGGCCUUUUCCUAUGGAUGCAGCUGUUGUGUUUCGGCUCUGUAGCGCUACGUUUGUGGGUUAAAUUAACUCGUACUGAUGCUUGCUUAAUUCAAUCUCCUGUUAGAAAUGUUUCAGCGUGCCAACAUAAUAACUGUAAUCACCUUGUCAUCAAGUCCCGUUUGAACUCAAUCAUCCGCCUCUGAACGCACUAUUCCCAUGUUUGACAGCCUACGGAGUCUUCAUGUUACUUUGUGUUCAUCUGAUCAUGCUUGAGAGAUUUAAAUGAACUUUUUUUUAGGCACUGUGGUAGCUUAUAUGCCAUAUAAUUUUAAACAUGGUCAGUUGUCAUACUCUUAAUUUUAUUUGAUCAAAGCUUCAAAUUAAGUUGCUCUCUGCUGGUAGGCUGUGCUUUCAGGAUGUGUUGUGAUAAUGUGUGAAAGGAACAUUUCUAAAGCCAUUAAUUAGAAUUUUAACAGAAUUCUCUAGCAAACAGAGCUGAAAAACAAGACUAUACGUAGUUCUUAAGAUGUUAAAAUGUAUAAAACUCACAUUAAUAUUUUCACACUUUGACUUCACAGUUUAAAAAAGCUAACAGAUCUAGCUUCAUCCUGCUUUUUCAAAAUUUAGGGUCAAGUUUUAAAAAAAAAUAUUAUUUUAUUCAGCAAGGAUGCAUUAAAUUGAUAUAAAUUGAUGGUAAAGACAUUUAUAACGUUGAAAAGAAAUUCAAAGAAAUGCUUUUUUUUCAAAUAACUUUUUCUAUUUGUCAAAGAAUCUUGAAAAAAAAAAAAUGUAUCAUGGCUUCCACAAAAAUAUUAAGCAGCACAACUGUUUUCAAAACUGAUAUCAAUAAGGAAUGUUUCUUGAGCAGCAAAUCAGCAUAUUAGAAUGAUUUCUGAAAGAUCAUGUGACACUGACUGGAGUAAUAGCUAUUGAAAAUACAGGAAUACAUUAUAUUUAAAUAGAAAACAGUUAUUUUAAAUUGUAAUGAUAUUUGACUAUUGACUAUUGCAGUUUUUUUUUUUUGCUGUAUUUUUGAUCAAAGAAAUGCAGCCUUGGUGAAUAUAGAGACUUGCUGCUUAAAACUUUGUGGUUGGUAAAAUUUGUAGUGUAAACAUAUUAAUCAGACUACAAUUGUCCUUGGCACUGUGGGAUUUGCUCUGAAAAAUGGAGCUGAUGCCUGACAUGUUUCAUCUUUCAAAUAUUCAAAUACACAUUGUGUCAUGUAUUAUAACGGAACAAGUUAACACACUGACUGAUGAACACAAUGCUGGAUCUUGUCCUAAUCACUCUUUCGUUCUCUUUAACAGAAGCAUGAUGGUACGAUGGCUCGGACAUUCUGUCCAGACCCCCGUCCAUUGAUUGUCUGCGCUGUGAGCCCCAAGAGGAAGCUUAUUUGGGCCUGGCUGCAGCAUGUGGGUGUGUUAGGGAGCACAGGGUGGUCCUGUGGGCCAGAGAGGGCAGCUAACUGGAGUAAACAGGACUCAGCAGGCUUAGUGUUUGUGUUUACUCUGCUGGAGAGGAGGCCAUUAGAGCAAACAGCCAGCGUUUCUUCACAUGUUGCUGAAAAUCACCCCAACCUUCAUUCACUCCUGUUUGGCACUACUAACACCCAGCCAGUGUGCCCAGAUGGCCCCGCUUUCCAGAUCUCUCACUGUUUCUGCCCUCUCUCCCCUCCCUCCCUGCGCCGUGGCGUCAUUAAAAGUGUCUGUGAGCGGGAGGUGUAAAAAACGGGUGCCGAGAGAGGGAGCAGAAAACAAUUUAGUGGCAUUUAAAGAUAAAGUCCUCCCCCUAUUUACAUGGCCUAUCUAAUCCAAUCUAGGCUCUGUCUGCAUUUUUAAUUUGCACAUUCAAGCAAGCUUCAGAGAGGAACCUAGGCUUAAUUAGUUUAGUUAUCUCCCCUCAUGAAUGGAUAAAGUUCCCACACUGCUGGUGUUUCAGAUGAAGCCUAAUUGGAUUUUGAGGCCAAAAACAAAAGGAGAAAUAAAAGAAACGAGGGUUAGAUAACAGAGGAAGAUUGAAUUGAUAAAGUGAAAGGGGAGUGAACUGUAGGAGAGAGAAACGACGCGGUCGAGAUCCUCGUUUGAGGUCAAUGAUCCUGUAGGUGGGUCAAUGACAUAUGAGGAAAAAUCUUUUAACAGAAUGAAAAAAAUUAAUUGGAAACGCUUAGAAAUGUACUCUUUUCUUAUUGGUCUGAUGUGGUAUAAGAAAUCAAACAAAGUCUUGAUGUGUAAAAACAUCAAAUGUACGUGUAAUCUAAAUAUUUUUUUAUAUACAAGUUAGUAUAUAAUAUAUAAGUUUAAUAGAUUUACUAUAUUUUAUUUAUGAAUAUAGAAAGUAUUUUUAAUAAAAAUGUUAAAAAAAAUUUGGAGAGUCUCUCCGUUCUACAUCUGAUCUUACAUUACCUUUCUAAUAUUUUAAUAUAAAUGUUAAUAAGUAAGCUUUUCUUUUCAAGAAUUUCUGUCUUUAAAUUGCCCUUUUUCUUCAUUAUAUCAGGACAGUUGUAUCUGGACAUUUUUGUAGGUGUUGUUGUAUUUAUGAAUUUCAUUUUAAGGACAAAACAUGAGCAUCUCGUCAUUUGCCAAGGAACCCUCUAUGGCUGAUGAAAAGAUCCAGUCUAAAUCAUUGCUGCAGUUUUGUCUAAAGUUCAUUAGCACAUCAGCUUGUGAUGUUUUCUAUGUUUUAUAUAUAACUGAAACAUUUAGAAUUUUAAAUGACACAAAAUUUAGAACACCCCCUCAAGACCCCUCCAGGGGUUUCAGUGCAAUUUGCCAGAAAUGGCGCUUUUGAAUAUAAAAUCCAGGCCUCAAGAAAAGUAAGCCCACAUUCGGUUUUAAAUCUCAACCGGUCUUUGCCAGUAUCCAGUAAUAAUACCAUUUCGUUCGGCUAGAGUAAAAGUGUCAGCACGUUUAAAAAUCAUCAUUCUUAAAGAGACAACUGAGCCUGAGUAAAUCAAUUAUUGAACAUUACCCUUCAUUGUGAUAUCUGAUUCGAACAAGGUCAAGGGAAUUAUUAAUAACCUUCUGUUCUCUUUCACAGACACGUUUACAAAUUAGCACUUCUCACAGGCCUGGGACCUGCUUUAUGAAGCCGAGUUUUCGGAGCAGCCUGAAAGUGUGAAAGAGUUCCAGAGGGCAGAGCAUUUGGAGAAGUCUAGAUAAUGAGAUUCUUUUGUUAAUGCCAUUGAACUCGAUUCAAUUAGUAAAAAGGGCCUAUGUUUGUGACUAUUGCGUGCGCAGCAUACAGUGUGUUUCUGUAUGUAAUUGACUUUGUAAGCCCUCGAGGAGCAAACUUUUAGCGCUUUCAAACAUUCAACAUUAUCGUCAAGCACAAAUGGAGAGCCAAGUAUGUUUGUCUUUUUUCUGUUUCUGUUUUUUUUUCUUUUUUUUUUUCUUGAGCCAAGUGAGCUGGUUUGGGGCUGAUCUUGUGUGCACUUGUGUGAUGUAUAGAUUAAUUAAAUAAGCAUAUUGAUUCCUGUUCUGGCAACACAGAGUGUGGGGUUUUAAUUAGCCCUCGCUUGAGUGUGUUAAAAUUCCAGUCUUAUCUGUGUGGAACCAAGUGGAACUGAAUGCAUGAGGGCUGCUCAUCAACUCAAAAUCUCCAGUAACCUCCAGUUUUUUUCCCCUUGUUUGUUUUAGUUCGACCCAAACCGCAAACUUUAUUCUUGUGAUCUGAAGGUUUGUUGGGAGCCCUUCGUCUCUCUUGGCAGCAGACGAGUGUGACGGCACGUUUUUGCGUACAUCCAAGAACCUUCUGUCCUGCUUACUGGUACCUCGAUCUGGUCUCCCUCAGCCAUCUUGUUCUUCAUAAAUUUUUCACCAUGCUGUGAUCAAAGCUCACCACUGUAUUUGUGUUCUGAUGUAAUGGCCAAGGAUGUAACAUGAAAAUCUACUUAAAAAUUACGAUCCAGCCUAUAUCAGGCCUAGUGUUGACAUGCCAUUUUUUUGUGUGGGUUUUUAAUGUGAUUGAUUUAUUUUGUUUAGACGGGCAGGAAGGUGCAGGAAUGUUUGGUGCUGUAGGCGUGUCAGUGGGUGAUCCACAUUCAUAUGCCGUGCACUUGUCUCAAUAGGGCAGCCAGGCCAUGCAGCUGUGUCAGAAAACACACUCAUCUUUUUUUUUUUUUUUUUUGGAGACAUAAAUGUGAGAAAACACUUUUACAUCACUGAAAUAAAAUAAAUAAUAAUAAAAAAAAACUUUUAUCUCAGUAUGCAAAUAAACACAAUUUAAUAAAAAUAAAUAUAUGCAGAAAUAAGUGGGUGUUUUCAAUUCUUUCUCUACAAAAGCUGAGCAGGAAUCUCCUGCAGAGGACAGAUUUAAAGUGGAGGGAAGAAAGUGUUGAGAGCAUCCGAAAAUUAAGAAAUACUUGACAAGUGAAAAACACUGAAAGGUAGCCAAUCACUGUAAGGUGAUUCUUUGUUUUGAGUCAUCAGAGAUAGAACUAUUAGCACUUUUUGGAGGGAUUUUUUUGGAGUUUCAGCGGUUGUGUUGGUGUUGCAAUACAUUGUUUUAAGAAGAAGGAUGUUCUCUUUCUGUGGCCCAGAGCUGUUCUUUUUCCUGUUGGAGUGACUCAAGUAGAUGUGCCUUGCUUCUGCUUCUCACAUCGAUUUCUCCAGCUACCGACUGCUGAAGACCAUCUUACCAAGGCUUUGCUGCCUUUCAUGUUCAUUAAUCCUGGGCUAUGUUAGCAUAAUGCUAAUGCACUGUUUAGUCUUCAUAGCUGCUCUGGAGGUCUUUGUGAGAUGGAGAGAAAUACUCCGUCAGUUCCAUCUGCACCUGCAACAGUGGACU